GUAGUACUCCCUCCGUCCGGAAAUACUUAUCAUCAAAAUGAAUAAAAGGAGAUGUAUCUAGAUGUAUUUUAGUUCUAGAUACACCCCUUUUGUCCAUUUUAAUGACAAGUUUUUUCGGACGGAGGGAGUAUAAG
rfam:Triticum aestivum genome assembly, contig: Triticum_aestivum_CS42_TGACv1_scaffold_288640_4AL